GUUUGGAACCGUUGAUGCAAAGGUUCAGUUGAGCAAAAAUGAAGAGGUGUCUCUGUGGUGUUCUCGCUGGGUCCCUCUUUAUGCUGAUAGUUCUAAGGCUGGGUGUGAUGAAAAAUCCAUUUGGGGAGACAAGUCCUAUAAGUGUAAAUAUAUCUAAUCCUCUUGAAUGGAUUAACCCCGGGGCUCCACCUGCAUUCCGUAGCCCAGAAUCUGCUAGUCAAGUGAUUUCUACAGCAACC
rnacentral:misc_RNA from 1 species